UACGUAGGGGGCAAGCGUUGUCCGGAAUCAUUGGGCGUAAAGCGUCCGCAGGUGGCAAUGUAAGUCUGCUGUCAAAGCGUCUGGCUCAACCAGAUAAAGGCAGUGGAAACUACAUAGCUAGAGUAAGGUAGGGGUAGAGGGAAUUCCUGGUGUAGCGGUGAAAUGCGUAGAGAUCAGGAAGAACACCGGUGGCGAAAGCGCUCUGCUGGACCUUAACUGACACUGAGGGACGAAAGCUAGGGGAGCGAAUGGG
rnacentral:rRNA from 1 species